GAUGAACGCUGGCGGCGUGCCUAAUACAUGCAAGUCGAGCGAACAGACGAGGAGCUUGCUCCUCUGACGUUAGCGGCGGACGGGUGAGUAACACGUGGAUAACCUACCUAUAAGACUGGGAUAACUUCGGGAAACCGGAGCUAAUACCGGAUAAUAUAUUGAACCGCAUGGUUCAAUAGUGAAAGUCGGUUUUGCUGUCACUUAUAGAUGGAUCCGCGCUGCAUUAGCUAGUUGGUAAGGUAACGGCUUACCAAGGCGACGAUGCGUAGCCGACCUGAGAGGGUGAUCGGCCACACUGGAACUGAGACACGGUCCAGACUCCUACGGGAGGCAGCAGUAGGGAAUCUUCCGCAAUGGGCGAAAGCCUGACGGAGCAACGCCGCGUGAGUGAUGAAGGUCUUCGGAUCGUAAAACUCUGUUAUUAGGGAAGAACAGAUGUGUAAGUAACUGUGCACAUCUUGACGGUACCUAAUCAGAAAGCCACGGCUAACUACGUG
rnacentral:rRNA from 1 species